rnacentral:rRNA from 1 species
UACGUAGGGGGCAAGCGUUAUCCGGAAUUACUGGGUGUAAAGGGUGCGUAGGUGGUAUGGCAAGUCAGAAGUGAAAACCCAGGGCUUAACUCUGGGACUGCUUUUGAAACUGUCAGACUGGAGUGCAGGAGAGGUAAGCGGAAUUCCUAGUGUAGCGGUGAAAUGCGUAGAUAUUAGGAGGAACAUCAGUGGCGAAGGCGGCUUACUGGACUGAAACUGACACUGAGGCACGAAAGCAUGGGGAGCAAACAGG